rnacentral:rRNA from 1 species
UUCAGAGAUGGUUUCCUUCAGUUCGGCUGGACCGGUGACAGGUGCUGCAUGGCUGUCGUCAGCUCGUGUCGUGAGAUGUUGGGUUAAGUCCCGCAACGAGCGCAACCCUCGUCUUUAGUUGCUACCAUUUAGUUGGGCACUCUAAAGAAACCGCCAGUGAUAAGCCGGAGGAAGGUGGGGAUGACGUCAAGUCCUCAUGGCCCUUACGCGCUGGGCUACACACGUGCUACAAUGGCGGUGACAACGGGCUGCAACCUCGCGAGGGGAAGCUAAUCCCAAAAAGCCGUCUCAGUUCGGAUUGUUCUCUGCAACUCGAGAGCAUGAAGGCGGAAUCGCUAGUAAUCGCGGAUCAGCAUGCCGCGGUGAAUACGUUCCCAGGCCUUGUACACACCGCCCGUCACACCAUGGGAGUUGGAUUGACCCGAAGGUGGUGAGCUAACCCGCAAGGGAGGCAGCCAACCACGGUCGGUUCAGCGACUGGGGUGAAGUCGUAACAAGGUAACCGU